CUGGGAAUACUCCUGGGUCUGUCUGCUCACGGCUGAUUGCCUGAUUCCCAGUUUUAUUAUACAGCUUAAAUACAGACCAGAAGAGGAGUUUGGGGCUUGACACCUGACAUCUUAACACCAGUUCCUGUUUCUUGAGGAAGGAAGAGGUAAAAUAAAUCAGCGUUUACUGUUUCCUUCUCCAUCCCCGGAAGUCCUGAUGAAGACCCUCUCAGCUUCAACUUGAACGUGAAUAUGAGCAACUGAUCAUCUGUUCUGCAGUCAGCCCCUGGCCUGCUUCUGACUCAUGGUAUUGACCUUCUCCAUCAUCACCUUCCACAAAUUUGAUUCCUGUCUAUUCUGCCUGGAAUGGUUCAUGAGUAUAGUCACCGUUUAUGUUCCUGAUGAAAGCAGGAGACGGAUUCGUGGAGAGAGGCGGAUUCCAUGUGUGCUGGCAAAGUGUGUGCUGAGAUGAUGAGUCGCUGGAGACCAGGGUGGACUCUUCAGACCCAGGAUAGGCCUCUGGCAGGUAUGUGUCAGUGUUUUCUGCCCAUGGCACUCAGCCGGGUAUUUGAAUCCAAUGUUAUCAGCGGAAUUAGUAGUCUCCGGAGAGGCUGCCACAUGUCAACAAGAUUCACCCAGCCAGGGUUCACCCGUGAUGUAGCUCCCCAAUCAAUCACUACUCCCUAGUCCUUCCAGAUAGACUACCAGAUCUUCUCUGCCCUUGGGCAACCAGUACAGCCAGAGGCCUUCCCCCUUUGCUCUUUCGUCUCUAGGCACUCUGUCAGGCACUCCAAGCUGGGAAGUGACUGGGGGGGGAGAAGAAAGAGAUUUCCGAGAAGGAACACAUACAGAGAGAGAGGCAAGAGAUGCUGAGUGGGGAUGUCUUGUGUACUGAUAUCCUGAGGAAAGUGGGAAAAUUGGACCCUGGCCUGCUGUGCCAAUGCCCUGAAGCAGUCCGCACCAGGGCUCCCUUGUGCCUGCGUAGCCUUUCCCAGGGUGUGUUCAAAUCCUGUGGCCACUAGGUGUCCUGGGUCACAAUGGAGGGCCCUGUGUCAUCGGCCUGGCGGGCUGGAUCUCUGCCAUUGGCUGAGUCUUGUCGCCAGGCCCAUCAUAAGCUGCGCCCACUCUGCCGGUGGGGAGUCUGUCUCCAUGGUGAUGGCAAAGAAGCCUUAGUCCCGCCCACCUGGCCUAGACUUCACCUACCCGGCCUGCUGACCCUCACUCAGACCUCUGUGUUGAUCAAAAUGAAUGUCCGCCAG